rnacentral:lncRNA from 1 species
UCUAGGCUAAUUGCACUGAAAUUGUUUUGCUGCUGCACUGUCAUAUUGAUAGUAAGUAAUGUCUAGAGUCCCAGAAUCUCAUGUUCUGUUUAUUGCAUUGUCUUGAGGGUUGUCAUAGCUUGAAUCAUCAUGAAUGUGUUGUAGAAUUGAGUAGAAUGUCUCUGCUGCUUGCAUCAUGAUUGAUAAGUUAUUUUGCAUACAUAAGCAUAUCUCAUACUGUCUAAGUUCAAUCCUAUUGUUAUCUGAUGCUAUUGCCUAUGUUUAAUCCAUCAAUGAAAGUCUUGCAUCAAUUAGAAAUUGUCUAAGUUGUUUGCAUCAUUGGUUUUGAUUGAAACUGUUGUGCAUAGCCUUAAUAUUGCUCAUGGAUUGAACCUGUUGCAUUCACAUAGCUAAAGCUUUAACAUUGUGCAUUCAUAUAGUAAUGCAUUUAAAAAUGAGCCUAAAUUGCAAAUGUACUGAUAGGAUUGCAUUGCAUUUAGAGAACUUAAAAAUAGAACUUGCAUUGUCAUUAUUAGAGAUUAAAAUCUACUUGUCUUGACUCAGUCCAGUUCUGAUUGUUGCUAUGCCAUAGUUAAAUCCAUCAGUGAUGUCUUAUAAGCACUUAGAAGUAUGUCUAAGCAAUUUGAAUCAUUGGCUUUGAUAAAACUAGUGAGCAUAAGCAUGAAUUGAGUCACUCUUGUCGCCUUGAUUGCAUAAGUAUCAUCUAGACUUGUGUUCCAUUUAGAUUGAAUCUGUUUCAUUCAUAUAGUUAGUGUGUAACCUAAUGCAGUCAUCUAUUGUUGCAUUUAAAAAAAAAACAAAACUGAAUUGAUUGUCUUUGCUUGAUUGUCUUGAUUGUCUAGCUUGUUUCAAGUAUAAUAUAUUAUUGUGGCAUUGGUGAUCAAACAGGAUGGAUAAUCUUGGUUUGAUCCCAAUGGGAUGAUCUGAUCUUGCAUUGAGUUGUGGUGG